GCAUGCAUCGUCUAUAAGGCAAUAAAGUGACUUGUUAUUAUGUUGUGCGAUCAUACCAGCACUAA
rnacentral:rRNA from 1 species